rnacentral:rRNA from 1 species
UUCCGGUUGAUCCCGCCGGAGGCUACCGCUAUUGGAGUUCGAUUAAGCCAUGCGAGUCGCGAGUCUUAGGGACUCGGCGUACCGCUCAGUAACACGUGGGUAACCUGCCCUAUGCUGGGGGAUAACCUCGGGAAACUGAGAAUAAUACCCCAUAGUUCACCACGCCUGGAACGGUGGGUGGACCAAAGCUCCGGCGGCAUAGGAUGGGCCUGCGGCGUAUCAGGUUGUAGGGGGUGUAAUGUACCCUCUAGCCCUCUACGCGUACGGGUGUUGAGAGACAUCGCCCGGAGAUGGAUUCUGAGACACGAAUCCAGACCCUACGGGGUGCAGCAGGCGCGAAAACUUGGCAAUGCGAGAAAUCGUGACCAGGGAACUCCAAGUGCAUCGGGUAAGACCGAUGCUUUUCUUGACUCUUCAAAGGUCUUGGAAUAAGGGGUGGGUAAGGACGGUGCCAGCCGCCGCGGUAAUACCGGCGCCCCAAGUGGUAGUCGCUUUUAUUGGGCCUAAAACGUCCGUAGCCGGUCUGGUACAUUCGUGGGUAAAUCAACCAGCUCAACUGGUUGAAUUCUGCGAGCACGGCCAGACUUGGGACCGGGAGAGGUGUGGGGUACUCUCAGGGUAGGGGUAAAAUCCUGUCAUCCUGAGAGGACCACCUGUUGCGAAGGCGCCACACUAGAACGGAUCCGACGGUCAGGGACGAAGCCUAGGGGCACGAACCGGAUUAGAUACCCGGGUAGUCCUAGGUGUAAACGCUGUGGACUUGAUGUUGGGGGCGCUCCGAGCGCACUCAGUGUCGAAGCGAAGGUGAUAAGUCCACUGCCUGGGGAGUACGGUCGCAAGGCUGAAACUUAAAGGAAUUGGCGGGGGAGCACCGCAACCUGAGGAUUGUGCGGUUUAAUUGGAGUCAACGCCGGA